GACGAACGCUGGCGGCGUGCUUAACACAUGCAAGUCGAACGGAAAGGCCCUGCUUUUGUGGGGUGCUCGAGUGGCGAACGGGUGAGUAACACGUGAGUAACCUGCCCUUGACUUUGGGAUAACUUCAGGAAACUGGGGCUAAUACCGGAUAGGAGCUCCUGCUGCAUGUUGGGGGUUGGAAAGUUUCGGCGGUUGGGGAUGGACUCGCGGCUUAUCAGCUUGUUGGUGGGGUAGUGGCUUACCAAGGCUUUGACGGGUAGCCGGCCUGAGAGGGUGACCGGCCACAUUGGGACUGAGAUACGGCCCAGACUCCUACGGGAGGCAGCAGGGGGGAAUAUUGCACAAUGGGCGGAAGCCUGAUGCAGCAACGCCGCGUGCGGGAUGACGGCCUUCGGGUUGUAAACCGCUUUCGCCUGUGACGAAGCGGGAGUGACGGUAAUGGGUAAAGAAGCACCGGCUAACUACGUG
rnacentral:rRNA from 1 species